GACGAACGCUGGCGGCGUGCUUAACACAUGCAAGUCGAACGGAAAGGCCUUUUCGGCGGUACUCGAGUGGCGAACGGGUGAGUAACACGUGGGUGAUCUGCCCUGCACUCUGGGAUAAGCCUGGGAAACUGGGUCUAAUACCGGAUAGGACCGCACUUUAGUGUGUGUGGUGGAAAGUUUUUUCGGUGUAGGAUGAGCCCGCGGCCUAUCAGCUUGUUGGUGGGGUAAUGGCUUACCAAGGCGGCGACGGGUAGCCGGACUGAGAGGUUGGUCGGCCACAUUGGGACUGAGAUACGGCCCAGACUCCUACGGGAGGCAGCAGUGGGGAAUAUUGCACAAUGGGCGCAAGCCUGAUGCAGCGACGCCGCGUGGGGGAUGACGGCCUUCGGGUUGUAAACUCCUUUCGCCAGGGACGAAGCGUUUUGUGACGGUACCUGGAGAAGAAGCACCGGCUAACUACGUG
rnacentral:rRNA from 1 species